CGACGUAGACUGGGUCCCUGUCCUUAUUAUGGUUGUCUCACAUACUCGUAUCUUGCAAGGGUUAGAACCAGCUCACGAUACGACAAUAUUAGCGUGCUUUGAAAGCUUAAAUUUGCUCGCCAUAUUUAUAUACACCACAAUCAGAGUAAUAUAAAUCCAAGGUAAGUUUCACAAAUUAAAAUAUCAAAAUUAGAUAUAUAAGAAACUCUGCUAUUAUCAAGUUGGGAACAAACCCUCCAUCAUUGGCAUCAGAGACAUAAGAACAUGUAUUAUAUGUAUACUUAUUUUGAGUAGUCUCAGACUUAUUUAAGAAAUAAUUCUUUCAUGCCAUGCUCUAUGCUCAUUUUAACAUGGGUAGGCAUUAUAUUUAAGAAAUAAUUCAAGGGGGCUUGAAUAUAUCGUGAUUUUACCAUUGGUUGGCUCUAUAUGACAAAUAUUUUAACCUGAGCGUUAGCGAGGGGUAAAAUAUGGGCAGAAAGGGACAAUCCGUGAUAAAAUCACGAUACAUUCAAGCCCCCAUGAAUUAUUUCGAUUCUAAUAGGACAAAUACGGCAAUUCUUUUGGAUCAAAGUGCUGGAUGACAAUAUUUGCCGUUCCCAUAAAUAAACGCACACUUAAAUUGACGUAAAAGAAUGGAGCAAACUGAAGUAGUGACAUGCUUAAUCUAUUUUCAAUAAGGUAUUUAGAUAGUUUUGGAUGAAUUUAAAUGAUAAUUUACUUAAACAUGUUAAAUGUAUUAUAUGUAUAAAAAUAAUUGGCUUCACCAGAUUUUAGCAGCGUUUGUUUACGUUUCUUUGUUGUGAUGAUUUUCGGUUUCGCAAGCGUGUAUUUUCCCGUAAAUUCCUUAUAUUCUUACGUCAUCUUUCUAUGACGUCUGGUACCUCAUUCAUAAAAAAGCAUAUGACGUGGGAGAACAAUGGGAACAGACCUGGCAAAUAUAUUCAUAAUUUACCACGGGUGUGUACUCAAAGUGUUUGAAAGAUGUCAUGUUAGAAUUGUCAAUAUCUUAAUACUGAGCGUUAGCAACGUGUUAAAUGUUGACAAAUAUGAUGCCUACCCAUGUUGAAUUGAGCAUAUACCAUGGCAUGAUACAAUUAUUUCGAUUCUAAUAGGACAAUUUUGAACUUUUGUACUUCGAAGUGGACCUAGCUAUAACACAUUCUCGAAAAGGAACCAUUUUGAUUUGAUGAACAAACAACGUAAUAGAUACAUGUUAUCAACAGUUUAACGAUAAAAGAUGAACAGAUACAUUUAAACCUACUUUUAAAAUGAUUUUAUUUAAUGUACUAGCGAGCAACACCAACACAAAUGUCCAUGUUGAUCUCUUGAGUUGCAUUUUCCUUGUAACGUCAAUCACAUGCAGCCCAUGUUUUAUUGAAAUAAGAACAUGGUUUUGUUUCCAAAGGGAAAGAAGGACGUCAUAUUAGAAUGACUUAUUGACAAUCUAAGUACAAAGGAUUGAUUGAUUGAUUGUUGGUUGCUUAACGUCCAGUGGCAAAUAUUUUCAUGCAUAUUCACGAUGACAAGUUCACAAUAAAUACAAUGUAGGUUGAUACAAUACAGGCCAUCUGGGAUUAUGGUCGGGGAAAUUUGGACUGCCACUGGAAAAUGAGGAUACCGUUCUUGGGCAUGUAUAGUCCGCACUUUUUUUUCUUAAAUAUGUAGUUUGUACAAGGGGUGCGGACUAUACACAACUAUAGACAGUUUUCGAAAUUAAAAAAAAAUAUAUAUAUUUUUUUUUUGUCGUUUUUUCUGUUUUAAUAAUGUAUAUUGAAAACGUUUAUUAUAUUCACUUCAUUUAAUUCUUAUUUUUUUAUAACUUUUCUCUUCAAAAUUGAUUAUUCAAAGUAAAGGUGUGACAUCCUGCAUAUGUAAUCAAGAGGGGUAAUUAGGAUUAAGUAUGGGUGUGUAGCAAUUAAAUAAUGAUGUCAAGUUUUGACAGGUGUUAAAUAUUAUAACCCCAUUCAAUAAAACAACAUGAUCAAUGAAAAGAUUAUAUAAGAUUAAAUAGUUUUAAAAUUUGAUUACUGCUAAUUAAUUUAGAUAAAUGUUUGAUCUCUUUUUUUUCUUUGUUCCAUAAUAUUCAAAUUAUUUCUGUAAUAUUAUAUAUAUCAGCUUGGACAUACUUAGACAAAUGUUGAUUAAAGGGAUCUUAUGAUUAAUAAAUACUUUUAUAAAAUUAUUAAAUAUUAAUAACCUGAUGAAAAGCUCUACCAUUUCAUUUUUUUCAUGAAAUAAAUAAAACAUAAUUAUUUUUUUAUAAAAUACAUGGAUUUUACAGUGAACUAGACUUUUACAAAAAAUCUUUUAAAAAAAUACAGAAACUUUUUUUCUGGAUUUUGAGGGGAUGAAAAGGGGGUGCGGACUAUACAUAAAUGCGUACUAUACACUGCCGAAUACGGUAUAUUUGAUAGGGACAGAAAUUUUGCCUUGCAACAGGCCACCUACGGACCCUUCAAAGAGUUGUUGCAAGGGUUCUUAACGUGCAAAGAGCGUGGCACUCUCUUUACACGAGGUAUCAGAUUUAACAUCCCCCUUCUGACCGGACGUGACUGCGAACUUGAUACAUCCCGCACAUCCAAACGGAUGCCCCACUUCGGCAAGUGUUUUACUGCCGGUCGGGAGAAGACCAAGUAACCAUACAGAGAUGCAAACAGUUUUUUUUUCCUGUCAGACAAUGGGGCCUACAGGGUACCAAGUUUUUGCCAGACCCAUCAAAUUUCUGCAGACCAUUUUCACUCAAAAACUCAAAUGAAUAGGUGACUGGUUUGGUCUUUUACCGGGUUUCGACCCACUUACAAAUUUUAUCGUCCAUGACAUAUUUCCUGAACUUAUCAACUAUGCUUAAUAGACCUCCUUCCUAGAGAGCGAAUUUCUAAAACAAAAAACAUGACGGAAAUACGGAGAAUUGUUCGGGGCGAGAUGGACAAGGUACGAAAGACUAUUACUGGGCGGAAAUACUGGUUCCCGGAGUUAGAAAAUGCGGGGGAACAGGACAUUUACUUUUAUUAAAGAUGAUCGCAAUUUUAUAAACAAAAUACUCUGCCGGGGCCGACGGAGAUUUCAGUUUUGGCGGACCCAAGCGGACUUAAAUUUUGCUGGCCAUCAGGUCCUGCACAGCUACGAGUUUUGCCGGACCUGCAUAAAUUCUGCCCCUUAGGUCCGACGGGUCCGACGAUUAGUUGCAUCUGUCCAUAUUUCUAUACCCCAGUCACCCUUGGGGUCUAAGUACAAAGGAGAAACUACAUUAGUGAUUAUAAUUUUACAAGAGAGAUUAUCCUGUCAUCACGACAAAUAUUGAAGACUGGGUAUGAGUGGAAUAGUGAGUUUAUUGUCCCAGAGGCAGAGGUGCAAAUAUUGCCUUGAGUUGUAGCCUAGGGCAAUAGUUGUAAAAAAGUUAUUCGGAGCAGAUCUAAUGUCAUUUCGGAGACAAAAUUUAGCUAAAUACCAAAAGUGUAAAUACGUUUGUAAAUGGCGGAGAUAAAUCAACUAUUGUUAUAUAAAAAGCAGAAAUCCAACCAUACUGUUAAACAUUUACUUCAUAAAUUUUCUGAAAUGCUAAGGCUACAUGUAUGUCCUGCACUAUUAGUCGUCAACCUUGGCCCUGGUACAAUUGAAUAGGUAAAACGUGAUGUCUUAACGCCUCCUGUAUUUUUAAAAUAAUCCAGUCCCGGAGCUGCAUUUGAAAUUCAACUUAAUAUAAUGAUGCUUGCAGUCAAAUAGUUUCAUUGAGGUCCAAUAGUUGGAAACUAUUAACCGACUCAAAUAAAUCAAGGCUUGCAAUUUGAAAAAAAGUCAAAAUACAGAAAUAUGUACUUAUUUUAUUUAGAAAAUAAGGGUUUCCCCUGGGUCAUUUUUCUUUUUCACCACCUUUUUCCCCAAAACAAAAUAUUUUUUGCCAACUAACAACUACAUGUGAAUGUACAUUGUAACAUAAACAUAUUUUGCUUUAAAGAAUUCCUUCUUUUUAACAGGGCCCACCAAAAUAUAAAAUCAAUGGCCCAUUUUUAGAAUUAAUGGGCCAUGUUGUCAAAUGAGUGGGCCAUUCGUUUACAACAACAAAAAUUUUUUUUAAAUCGGUCCAUCACAAACUUGGACUAUCACAAACUCGGCCUACCAUUAUUUAUAUGCAGAAAUAAAUUGAACAAACUUGGACUAUGAUCAGUAGAUUGUGUUGUUAACUGUUUGACCUAAGCUCCAGUGAUUCCUUAUAUAAUCAACCAAAUUUUCCCCUCUGGAUCUACCUAUGCCCUUUUAAGAUUGAAAAGUACAUGUAAAUAUAUGUUGAUGGUCACAUAAACAGAUACAAUGUUGUUAUAAAGGCAAGCUGAAGCAAACAUUUAUUAUACAUAUUUCUAAAAAUAGAUUUGGAGUAAAAUUUGAAAUAAAAACAGAGAUUUCUUUGAUCUUACCAAAUAGUAAAAGUAAUAAGCUUUUUAAAAAAGCUAGCCGUUUCUUAGCUGAUGAAAGUGGAAAGUGUUCUCGCUUUGUAGACUAAUUCAUUAAGAAUAGCCUUGCAUAUUAAUCAACAAAUUUUACCACACACAUUAAUUAUGAAGCAGAUAUAUAUCUUUUAAUGUUGUGUGUGAAUGCCAAAAAGGUCCUUUAAUAUCAUACUAAUCCUUAAAAUCAUGCUUGUAAAUGCUUUACAUAUUUUUCAAACAAUUUAUUGUCUCAUCAUAAAAUAUCAUAACCAUGAUUUCCUUCAAGUUUUCCUAUGUUUUUCGUGUAUAAAAUGUGUAAACACUUACAGUGAUGGACUGGAUUGCAUGUUAAACAAUCCUGUGUGUUUACAAAACUCCAGGAGAAUCGGCUAUUUAUAGUUACCUGUGUACCAAUAUGCAUGAUUGGUGACAAGGCAAAAUCUAAUUGUUAAAAUAGAGAGGAUAAAUCCGAUACUUUACGGGAUUGAAAGACAUUUACUAGGUUCGGAUUGUCCCUACCAAUCAACGAACUUGAAUUAUUCACAUCUCCGUAAUACAUGUAUAUUCCAAUCAUGUACUGUAGUAUGAAGCAUUCAGCCCGCAGACUGUCCAUCGUUCAUUUCUUAACAACAUCUCCUUGGAGACGUUAAUAACACUACUGCAUGAUGCCUUAUUGAAUAUUAAUCGUAUUUAAAUAACUAUUAUUGAAUGACGAAAACAUUGACGUACUACAGGAUCACUGUGACAGGGUUCAAUACUAAGGCCAUUGUUGUUUAACUAUUUAUAAAUCAUUAGGAUAUUUUCUGUUUGUUGAAAAUUUUAUAUAAUUAUCUAAACAUGACAAUAAGUUUGUCUUUCUGUACUCCAGAUUUUGAUUUCUUAAUAUUAACUUUGGAAUCUGAGUAAUAAUUCUUAUUGAGUGGUUCUGGGUGAAUAAAAUGCAAGCAAAUCCAUGCUGUGAAGCUACUGGAUAUUUUGUUAAUUGCAAUUUCAGAGUUUUGUUCUUACAUGUACACAUGUACUUGUUUGAUUUAAUAAAAAGGUGUCAACAGUAUAUGUGGCAAUAUAUGAUGUCAUAUUUCCAGUUCAAUAAAAUAAAUUUGUAGGGACAUAAAAAUAAUAUAACUGAAAAGGCAAAUAAGUCAUUAAGUGGAAGAUUUUUAUUCUUAAAUGAAUUUAUUGUUACUUUUCUUUUUAUCUUUUUUAUCAAGUCAUUUAUAUUUCUUGCUUUAUAACAUUUCAAAAAUAAAUUAUUUAAUUUAAAGUUAAGUACUGAUAAUUAAUUUCAAAAAAUUAAGAUAACAUUUAACAUCAUACAUUGUACUUAUAUUUGAAUCAGAGUUUGCUCUAGUUUGAUUUUUUGUAUAGUUUGUAAUGGGCCGAGAUAUCAGGGAGUCAUUUUGUAGUGGUACCAACCUGUAGGAUUCUAAUUGAUAUGAUGAAUAUUGUUCCUGUCCUUUUGUAAUUUCAAUUUCAAUGAGUAAAAUGAAGUUAAUUAUGUUCCUGGAUAUUUAUGUGACCAUCCAGAUACAAAAGAAUAUUUAUGUCUGUGAUUUUAAAUAAUAAAAGAUAAAGUAAUAACUGAGUUACUAGAACUUUGUCAAUGGCAAACUAAAAGUAAUAACUGAGUUACUAGAACUUUGACAAUGGCAAACUAAAAGUAAUAACUGAGUUACUAGAACUUUGACAAUGGCAAACUAAAAGUAAUAACUGAAGUUACUAGAAUUUGACAAUGGCAAACUAAAAGUAAUAACUGAGUUACUAGAACUUUGACAAUGGCAAAACUAAAAGUAAUAACUGAGUUACUAGAAACUUUGACAAUGGCAAAGCUAAAAGUAAUAACUGAGUUACUAGAACUUUGACAAUGGCAAACUAAAUAAUAACUGAUUACUAGAACUAAUGGCAAAAGUAAUAACUGAGUUACUAGAACUUUGACAGUGGCAAACUAAAAGUAAUAAACUAAGUUACUAGAACUUUGACACAAUGGAAAAAAGUAAUAACUAAGUUUACUAACUUUGAAACUAAAAGUAAUAACUGAGUUAUUAGAACUUUGACAAAUGGACAAUGGCAAACUAAAAGUAAUAACUGAGUUACUAGAACUUUGACAAUGGCAAACUAAAAGUAAUAACUGAGUUACUAGAGUUGAAAUGAUUUUUGGCAAGUACAAUGCUACCAUCAUACAGUAUUACAGUAACUAGGGCCAUAACUUCUUCCAAACAGGGCAAUAUUUACGAGAACCUUUAUUUACAAUGUACAUGUAUAUAUAUACUGGUACUGUUGUCUUGUUCAUGGCAAAAAUUUUGCAGUCAUAUACAAUGUAUUAGUAUAUAUAUAUAUCAUGUUGUCGUCAGCAUUAUCCGAAGACAGUUGGUUUCUGUUUUCCGGCCUAUAAUAAGUAAAUAGAAAUAUAUGAAAUUUAAACACAAUGUUUAAAACCACAAAAGGAAGGUUGGGAUCAAUUUUGGGGAUGAAAGUCCCAACAGUUUAGGGAUAAUUGUAUCUGUACAUGUACUGAUGAUGUAGUAUUGUAUCUGUACAAAUGUACAUGUACUGAUGAUGUUAUAUUGUAUAUGUACAUGUAUAUGAUGUACUGAUGAUGUAGUUAUAUCUGUAUGUGUACUGAUGAUGUAGUAUUAUAUCUGUAUGUGUGAUGUGAUGUAGGUAAUUAUCUGUAUUUGUGAUACUGAUGAUGUAGUAUUAUAUCUGUAUGUGUACUGAUGAUGUAGUAUUGUAUCUGUAUGUGUACUGAUGAUGUAGUAUUAUAUCUGUAUGUGUACUGAUGAUGUAGUAUUAUAUCUGUAUGUGUACUGAUGAUGUAGUAUUGUAUCUGUAUGUGUACUGAUGAUGUAGUAUUAUAGUCUGUAUGUGUACUGAUGAUUGUAGUAUUGUAUCUGAUGUGUACUGAUGAUGUAGUAUUUAUCUGUAUGUGUACUGAUGAUGUAUUAUAUCUGUAUUGUACUGAUGAUGUAGUCUGUAUGUGUACUGAUGUAGUAUUGUAUCUGUAUGUGUACUGAAUGAUGUAGUAUAUAUCUGUAUGUGUACUGAUGACUGUAGUAUUGUAUGUACUGAUGAUGUAGUAUUGUAUCUGUAUGUGUACUGAUGAUGUAGUAUGUAUCGUAUAUGUUACUGAUGAUGUAGUAGUAUUGUAUCUGUAUGUGUACUGUAUUGAUGUAUCUGUAUGUGUACUGAUGAUGUAGUUAUUGUAUCUGUAUGUGUAUGUGAUGUAUGUAUAUGUAUCUGUAUGUGUACUGAUGAUGUAUGUUUGUAUGCUGUAUGUGUAAUGAUGAUGUACUGUAUGAGUAUCUGUAUGUGUACUGAUGAUGUAGUACAGUAUUGUAUCUGUAUGUAUGUGACUGAUUGUACUAUGUGUACUGAUGAUGUAGUAUUGUAUCUGUAUGUGUACUGAUGAUGUAGUAUUGUAUCUGUAUGUGUACUGAUGAUGUAGUUAUAUCUGUAUGUGUACUGAUGAUGUAGUAUUGUAUCUGUAUGUACUUAGUGGUAUGUAUCUGUAUGUGUACUGAUGAUUCGCAUGAUGUAGUAUGUAUCUGUAGUGUACUGAUGAUGUAAUUAUGUAGUACAUGUCUGUAUGACUGAUGAUGCAGAUUGUAUCUGAUGCUGUACUGAUGAUGUUAUUGUAUCUGUAUGUGUACUGUGAUGUAGUUAUAUCUGUAUGGUACUGAUUGUAGUAUUGUAAUGUGUACUGAUGAUGCAGUAUUGUAUCUGUGUGUACUGAUGAUGUGUAUUGUAUCUGUAUGAAUGAUAUGUGUACUGAUCUGAUGAUGCAGUAUGUAACAAUGUACAUGUACUGAUGAUGGUUUAUUGUACGAGUUCUGAUGAUGUAGAUUGUAUCUGUAUGUGUAAAAUAUCUGUGUAUGAUAGGUACAAGUAAUGAUGUACUUAUAAUGAUGAUGUAGUAUAGUAUCUGAUCAUGUACUGAUGAUGUUGUAUCAUGUACUGAUGAUUUAGUAUACAUGUAGUAUCUGUACAUGUUCUGAUGAUGUAGUUACAUUGUAUAUCUGUAUGUAGGUGUUUUGUCUAUUUCAUAUAAUAUAACCAACAUGAUAGUUGAAAAUAAAUGUAACAUCAUGUUGUAAUGGUUAGUCAAACAAAUAUCACUUGCUUACCACAGCGCUAUCACAAAAUCCUGGGGAGAGCACAGUAACAGUACAUGUUCUGAUGCUUGAAGAUAUUGCUUUGAUAUUUGGUAUAUUGUUUUAUCAUUACAAGUUACAAAUCAAGUUCCAAUUUUGUUCCAGUCUGAUGAUUUUGAGAAGAGUUAUGAUCCUUGUUUGGACUUAAAAAAUUCUUAAAAAAGUAUCAGUUUUUCACAAUUUUUUCUCAUCAUGCUUGAAGGUAUUGAUAAUUGGUAUAUAAUUUAUUUUAUAAUGACAAGUUUCAGACCAAGUUCAAAUUUUGUUCCGAUCUGAUGAUUUUGUGCAGAGUAAUGGUGCUUCGACUUAGAAAAUACACUUGAAUAGUCAGUUUCCACACUUUUUUUUCGUCAUGCUUGAAGACAUUGAUUUGAUAUUUGUUAUAAAGUUUUACAAUGACUAGUUAUAGAUCAAGUUAGCAUUUUGUUCCAGUACAAUUAAUUUUAACCUGGUAGGGGACUAUGUAUUGGCUUGCAAUACUCUCGGAAUGCUUGUUAUGAAUACAAAUGUAUAUAUUAAUUAUGAUGUAUUCUUUUUUCAGGAAUCUUAUACGCAAUAGAAACUUUUCCAGGCCAACAUGAAGUA
rnacentral:lncRNA from 1 species